rnacentral:rRNA from 1 species
CGAGGGGCAGCGGGUAGAUGAGCUUGCUCAUUUAUGCCGGCGACCUGCGCACGGGUGAGUAACACGUAUGCAACCUGCCCGUCUCAGGGGGAUAAUCGUCGGAAACGGCGUCUAAUACCCCGUAUGAAGCUGGACGGCAUCGUCUGGUUUUGAAAGAAUAUCGGAGACGGAUGGGCAUGCGGCGCAUUAGCUGGUUGGCGGGGUAACGGCCCACCAAGGCAACGAUGCGUAGGGGUUCUGAGAGGAAGGUCCCCCACACUGGUACUGAGACACGGACCACAUUUAAACGGGAGGUAGCAGUGGGGAAUAUUGGUCAAUGGGCGAGAGCCUGAACCAGCCAAGUCGCGUGAGGGAGUACUGCCCUAUGGGUUGUAAACCUCUUUUGUCGGGGAGCAAAAGCCGGACGUGUCCGUCUGUGAGAGUACCCGAAGAAAAAGCAUCGGCUAACUCCGUGCCAGCAGCCGCGGUAAUACGGAGGAUGCGAGCGUUAUCCGGAUUUAUUGGGUUUAAAGGGUGCGCAGGCGGAUUUUUAAGUCAGCGGUAAAAUCGCGGGGCUCAACCUCGCUCCGCCGUUGAAACUG